GCUUUGGGCCUAUGCGAGAGUCGGCCCUGCCCGGUGAGAGACUCUCUUUAACGGCCGCAGUUUAUAGCUGUGCUAAGGUAGCGUAAUCAUUUGCCCUUUAAUUGGGGGAUAGUUAAAUGGGUUGACGUAAGAAAAGCUGUCUUUUUAAUGAUGCUUGAAAUUUUCUUUUAAGUGAAAAGACUUAAAUAAACGUAAAAGACGAGAAGACCCCGUGGAGUUUGAUUGUUAAAUUCUAUAAAGGUUUUGAGAAGUUUUACUGGGGCAGUAAGAAUAUAUGAAAAAUUAUUGUUAGUGAGAUGGAUCCCCUAAUUAGGGUCAGAAGAAAAAACUACCCCGGGGAUAACAGCGUUAUCUUCUUUUAGAGGGCAUAUCGAAAAGAGGGUUUGCGACCUCGAUGUUGGCUUUAAGUAUCUUUUUGGUUGCAGGAGCUAAAAAAGUAGGACUGUUCGUCCUUUAAAACUUAACAUGAUCUGAGUUCAGACCGGA
rnacentral:rRNA from 1 species